rnacentral:lncRNA from 1 species
CCGCUGCAGGCCCCGCCCACCAGCCCGGGUCCACCCGCGAGGCGCGGGGCACAGGCUUGGCAGAUGCACACGAGGAAGAGGAAGGGAUCCUCGCAAGCUUUGAAAGGCGCCGUCAAGUCAAAUAAAUAAAUGCCCUACAACACCAACCCAGGACUGAGAUCUGCAUGCUGGAAUGACGGUGGUGGUGGUGGCUUUCAGUAUUCCCCAGGUUUUGUCCGGAGCACCGGCACGCCCUCUCUUGAAGUCCGCUCUCCGCACAGAAAUAACUAGUUUCUUUCAGAGACUACUAAGAAAGCGUUAAUUUCCUCUUUUUAACUUGAUUAGUGGUUAGACGGGAAGAUCCGGAGCUGUCCAGUGUCUUGGGUAAUGCACGGCAUCGCCUGAUGUCUGACGCUAGAACACCACGUAAAGUCAAGCAGAGGGAAGUGAAUGCGCCCUAGGCCCCUGCAGGCCACCAAGAAGAGCUAGAGGGAGUUGGUGCAAUCCUAGAGAUGCCGGCAGGUGCACCAAUCUGUGGCACACGUACGCUCUCCAAUGGAAGACAACUCAAGACCACACCAAGUUUGUAUUAAAAAAGUACUGUUGUGUUACUUUUUACCAACCUCCAAUCAUUAUACAAAAUGUUAAAAAAUACACAAACACACACACACACUCACAGCCAUAGAGGUUAUCGCAAAAGAUCAACCCAGAAUCUUUCAGAAUAUGACAGAUGCACUGAGAAGGCAGAUAAAUUGAUUCAAUAUACAAAAGGCCUCUUUCCUAUGGAAUUUCAUUAGAUUAAAUAAGGUGUUCCCUCCUCACAGCCUCAUCCUUAUGAGCAAUCAUAUAAAUAAUCUAUUUAAAGUCCUUGAACUAUAACUUGUAUAAUUUUUAGUUUUCCCCCUUUGAAGGGGCCUAAGAGAAAGGUUUGAGAAACCAGCUCUUGAGGGGGGCAGGGGUGAGGGGUAAGAGGUCCUGUGCCUUUCAUUCAUCCUGGGAGCUUCUCAGGAUUGCAGCAUUUCCACCUGAGUGUUCAUUCUUGUACAUUUUCUCAUCUUUCUCCUGGGUUCCUAGGAUCUUGGAGAUUACCUAGUCCAAUCCUUUUACUUCAGAAACAAAAAACCUGAGGCUCAGAAAGGCUAAGUCAAAUGCCUAGGGUCACACAGGGAAACUGUGGGAGUUGGAUCCCUGAGUCCCAGUCCUUAAACUGGUUGCUACAUGACAUUCUAGAACCUCUCCCCACCAACUCCCUUUUUAAAGACAGGGUCUGGUUCUGUCACCCAGGCUGAAGUGCAGUGACAUGAUCUUGGCUCACUGCAACCUCCGCUUCCUGGGCUCAAGCCAUUCUCCCACCUCAGCCUCCCAAGUAGCUGGGACAACAGGCACAUGCCACUACGCCCAGUUAAUUUUUCUAAUUUUGUUUUGUAGAGACAGAUUUGCCAUGUUGCCCAGGCUGGUCUCGAAUUACUGGCCUCAAGCGAUACGCCUGUUUAGGCAUCCCAAAGUGCUGGGGUUACCGGCAGGAGCAAUUGCUCCGGGCCAGACUUCCCUUCCCCCGCCCACACCCCCCCAACCCGGCCUAGAUCCACAGGCACUGUAAUCACAGCUGACACACUCGACUCGGAAUCAGCAUAGAGAGCACUCUGAAAAUUGUCAAAUAGGGUCCCUGAAACUUGUAUACCAUACUUCUCCUGAAGAUCUUGAAGCAUCUUUGUGUUUGCUUUUUUUUUUUUUAACUUAAAAUAUGGCAUUCAGGUUUUAUCCCUCUCCCCGACGCCAUGUUUCCUUUCUGUAUUAGUCACACACGUGAUCCUAAAGUCUGUCUUCCCCACUUUAACUGGGGAGGGCUGGACAAGGUGGAAUUCCAAUUGCAGGAGACAGGAUGUGACAUGGGUGAGGUGCCCAAGGCUCACCGACUGAAACUUCGAUGGCUCUUCCCUGUUUCCUUGUGCAGGGCCCCCCUUCUCUCCACUGCUCACCUGGCUCUCCUCCUCCCUUCCUGCCUGCUUUGCAGCUCUUGCUACUAUUUUCCUUUUCUUUCCCUGCUCCCACCCUGGCCCAAUUUAUUUCACAGAAAUAUCACAGGGCCAGCCAGGCACAGCGGCUCACCCCUGUAAUCCCAGCACUUUACGAGGCUGAGGAGGGCAGAUCACUUGAGGUCAGGAGUUUGAGACCAGCCUGGCCAACAUGGUAAAAUCCUGUCUCUACUAAAAAUACAAAAAUUUGCUAGGCAUGGUGGCAGGCGCCUGUAAUCCCAGCUACUUGCGAGGGAGGCUGAGGCAGGAGAAUCACUUGAACCUGGGAGGCGGAUGUUGCAGUGAGCCAAGAUCACACCAUUGCGCUCCAGCUUGGGCGACAGAACGAGACUCUGUCUC